CGACUAAGGUUCGACUCGAGCGAAGCGAGAGAACGUUGCCGCAGGCAACGGCCCGAAGGGCGAGGCGCUUUAGCGCCGAGUAAUCCUUCCCCCACCACCA
rnacentral:sRNA from 1 species